GCGGGGGUUGUAGAGCCUGGCCAAAUAAUAAAAAAAUUUGGAAACGCAGGACUUAAGAUCCUGUCCUUUAGGGGUUCGUGGGUUCGAAUCCCACCUCCCGCA
rnacentral:tRNA from 1 species